AAGUAAAAGUCGUAACAAGGUUUCCGUAGGUGAACCUGCGGAAGGAUCAUUAACGCGCAGGCCGACGUUGGCCCUCUCCCCGAGAAGGGGGGGGGGACUCCGGCCACACGCCCAUUCUUGUCUACCGACCCAGUUGCCUCGGCGGGUUCGCGCCCGCCGGAGGACCGUCAAACAAAAAUUCUUCACAGUGUUACCGUCUGAGCGUAUAAAGCGUAAAUCAGUUAAAACUUUCAACAACGGAUCUCUUGGUUCCGGCAUCGAUGAAAAACGCAGCGAAAUGCGAUAAGUAAUGUGAAUUGCAAAAUUCCGUGAAUCAUCGAAUCUUUGAACGCACAUUGCGCCCCCUGGCAUUCCGGGGGGCAUGCCUGUUCGAGCGUCAUUGCAACCCCUCAAGCCCGGCUUGUGUGAUGGACGACCGUCCCCCUCCCCUUCAUCUCUGAAGAGGGGGGACGCGCCCGAAAAGCAGUGGCCAGGCCGCGAUUCCGGCUCCUGGGCGAAUGGGACAAACCACCGCCUCUUGGGGGACCGGCCGGCAGCUGGCCUCGUUUCAAUAAUUGUCGUUAGAGAAUUAUUCUUCAAGGUUGACCUCGGAUCAGGUAGGGAUACCCGCUGAACUUAAGCAUAUCAAUAACCGGAGGA
rnacentral:sRNA from 1 species